rnacentral:misc_RNA from 1 species
AACGGUCUAUACCUGCGGUACCUGCGGAAGGAUCAUUAACGAGUUAGGGUCUUCUAGGCCCGACCUCCCAACCCUAUGUUUAUUGAACCUCUGUUGCUUCGGCGGACCCGCCUCACGGCCGCCGGAGGACCGCUGCAAGGCGUCCUCUGGCCAGCGCCCGCCGAUGGCCAACCACUUAAACUCUGAAUGAAUCGUGUCAUAUGUCUAAGUCUAUGAUUAAAUUAAAGCAAAACUUUCAGC